rnacentral:pre_miRNA from 15 species
GGACCCAGUACCCCUGAGCCUUGGCCGGCUGGGGUUCCUGGGGAUGGGAUUUGAUUACUGCCACAAAUCACAUUGCCAGGGAUUUCCAACUGACCACUGGCCCUGCUGCUGGAGCUGC